rnacentral:rRNA from 1 species
GACUACUUACACAAACAAUCCGCCAGGGAACUACGAGCCUCAGCUUAAAACCCAAAGGACUUGGCGGUGCCCCAAACCCACCUAGAGGAGCCUGUUCUAUAAUCGAUAACCCCCGCUUAACCUCACCACUUCUUGCCAAAACCGCCUAUAUACCACCGUCGCCAGCCCACCCCGUGAGGGGUACACAGUAGGCAGAAUGGCCACCGCCAAAACGUCAGGUCAAGGUGUAGCGUAUGAAGUGGAAAGAAAUGGGCUACAUUUUCUGACCCAGAACACACGGAAGGUCACUAUGAAACCUGACCCAAAGGAGGAUUUAGUAGUAAAGAAAAACAAGAGAGUUCUCUUUAACUCGGCCCUGGGGCGCGCA